UGAAAAAAAUAAAAAGAAUGAGUAGCAGGAACCUCCGAUUCUGUUGCCUCCCUAUGGAAAGAGACUGUUAGUCUGUACUUGACGGUCCUCGAGGGGUCUAUGAGGUGUAUUGGAUCAGCAUGACGAGUCUGGUCGAAAAGAGCAUGCAAUUUACCUUAGCAAAAAGUUUACCGACUGUGAAACAAUACAUUCACUAUCCGAGAAAACUUGAUGUACUUUGGC
rnacentral:lncRNA from 1 species